GAAAUGCGAUACGCAAUGCGAAUUGCAGAACCGCGAGUCAUCAGAUCUUUGAACGCAGCCCGCGCUGGAGAGAUAUCUCUCUGGCAUGUUUGUUUCAGUGUGUUUGGUUGACUUCAUACAGCUCAAUGCGAUUGAACCUUCUUACGAAGGGUCUCUCGUGAAAAGCGAAGGCGUGGGACUCGCCCGCCAACGAUGUGGUCACUGUCUAACAGUGAAUUCGUUGGGUUCAUCGGUCUUGUCAUUUACGUACGUCUUAGUCAAACAAAAUCUUCAAUCUGCACCUGAAAUCAAGCAAGAACACCCGCUGAACUUAA
rnacentral:misc_RNA from 1 species